AGUGAACUAGAAUCGUUUGGAAAGACGAACCAAAGAGAGUGAUAGUCUCGUAUAGGUAAGCGAAGAGGAUAUAGCAGUACCCUGAGUAGUGCGGGACACGUGUAAUCCUGUAUGAAUCCACCGGGACCAUCCGGUAAGGCUAAAUACUCCUGAAAGACCGAUAGUGAACUAGUACCGUGAGGGAAAGGUGAAAAGAACCCUAAGUAAGGGAGUGAAAGAGAACCUGAAACCGUACGCCUACAAGCGGUCGGAGCACAUUUACUGUGUGACGGCGUGCCUUUUGCAUAAUGAGCCUACGAGUUACUGUUGCUAGCAAGGUUAAGGAUUUAAGGUCCGGAGCCGAAGCGAAAGCGAGUCUGAAUAGGGCGAGAUUAGUUAGUAGUAGUAGACGCGAAACCGAGUGAUCUACCCAUGGGCAGGUUGAAGCUGUGGUAACACACAGUGGAGGACCGAACCAGUUGACGUUGAAAAG
rnacentral:rRNA from 1 species